GAGCUGGAACUAUAUGAAACAUGAGUAAAAGAAUUUUAUGAACUCAUUAUCUUUUAAAACUGAGGCAUACAUCAAUGAUAAUCUACUUAAAAAAUGGCACUCCUACAUCAUCCAUGUGAUUGUCAUCUGCAGGUCCUUUGAUAAAGAGGUUGCAAAGUUUUUUCAGGUUCAAAUGAGUUGUAUAGUCAUCAUGAUUGUGGAGGUUGGACAGCAGAGACCUGAACUGUUAGGGGCAUUUCUGCUCUGGUUAUCUAUUCAUCCAAAGACCAAUUUUGCAAUGCUCAAGACAAAAAAAUCAACUCCUUGCAUGCUCGGGAAUUAGACGUCGACGCAACUCAUCAGGUGCGCC
rnacentral:lncRNA from 1 species